rnacentral:rRNA from 1 species
GAAACAUCUUCGGGUUGUGAGGUUAAGCGACUAAGCGUACACGGUGGAUGCCCUGGCAGUCAGAGGCGAUGAAGGACGUGCUAAUCUGCGAUAAGCGUCGGUAAGGUGAUAUGAACCGUUAUAACCGGCGAUUUCCGAAUGGGGAAACCCAGUGUGUUUCGACACACUAUCAUUAACUGAAUCCAUAGGUUAAUGAGGCGAACCGGGGGAACUGAAACAUCUAAGUACCCCGAGGAAAAGAAAUCAACCGAGAUUCCCCCAGUAGCGGCGAGCGAACGGGGAGGAGCCCAGAGCCUGAAUCAGUGUGUGUGUUAGUGGAAGCGUCUGGAAAGGCGCGCGAUACAGGGUGACAGCCCCGUACACAAAAAUGCACAUGCUGUGAGCUCGAUGAGUAGGGCGGGACACGUGGUAUCCUGUCUGAAUAUGGGGGGACCAUCCUCCAAGGCUAAAUACUCCUGACUGACCGAUAGUGAACCAGUACCGUGAGGGAAAGGCGAAAAGAACCCCGGCGAGGGGAGUGAAAAAGAACCUGAAACCGUGUACGUACAAGCAGUGGGAGCACGCUUAGGCGUGUGACUGCGUACCUUUUGUAUAAUGGGUCAGCGACUUAUAUUCUGUAGCAAGGUUAACCGAAUAGGGGAGCCGAAGGGAAACCGAGUCUUAACUGGGCGUUAAGUUGCAGGGUAUAGACCCGAAACCCGGUGAUCUAGCCAUGGGCAGGUUGAAGGUUGGGUAACACUAACUGGAGGACCGAACCGACUAAUGUUGAAAAAUUAGCGGAUGACUUGUGGCUGGGGGUGAAAGGCCAAUCAAACCGGGAGAUAGCUGGUUCUCCCCGAAAGCUAUUUAGGUAGCGCCUCGUGAAUUCAUCUCCGGGGGUAGAGCACUGUUUCGGCAAGGGGGUCAUCCCGACUUACCAACCCGAUGCAAACUGCGAAUACCGGAGAAUGUUAUCACGGGAGACACACGGCGGGUGCUAACGUCCGUCGUGAAGAGGGAAACAACCCAGACCGCCAGCUAAGGUCCCAAAGUCAUGGUUAAGUGGGAAACGAUGUGGGAAGGCCCAGACAGCCAGGAUGUUGGCUUAGAAGCAGCCAUCAUUUAAAGAAAGCGUAAUAGCUCACUGGUCGAGUCGGCCUGCGCGGAAGAUGUAACGGGGCUAAACCAUGCACCGAAGCUGCGGCAGCGACGCUUAUGCGUUGUUGGGUAGGGGAGCGUUCUGUAAGCCUGUGAAGGUGUACUGUGAGGUAUGCUGGAGGUAUCAGAAGUGCGAAUGCUGACAUAAGUAACGAUAAAGCGGGUGAAAAGCCCGCUCGCCGGAAGACCAAGGGUUCCUGUCCAACGUUAAUCGGGGCAGGGUGAGUCGACCCCUAAGGCGAGGCCGAAAGGCGUAGUCGAUGGGAAACAGGUUAAUAUUCCUGUACUUGGUGUUACUGCGAAGGGGGGACGGAGAAGGCUAUGUUGGCCGGGCGACGGUUGUCCCGGUUUAAGCGUGUAGGCUGGUUUUCCAGGCAAAUCCGGAAAAUCAAGGCUGAGGCGUGAUGACGAGGCACUACGGUGCUGAAGCAACAAAUGCCCUGCUUCCAGGAAAAGCCUCUAAGCAUCAGGUAACAUCAAAUCGUACCCCAAACCGACACAGGUGGUCAGGUAGAGAAUACCAAGGCGCUUGAGAGAACUCGGGUGAAGGAACUAGGCAAAAUGGUGCCGUAACUUCGGGAGAAGGCACGCUGAUAUGUAGGUGAAGUCCCUCGCGGAUGGAGCUGAAAUCAGUCGAAGAUACCAGCUGGCUGCAACUGUUUAUUAAAAACACAGCACUGUGCAAACACGAAAGUGGACGUAUACGGUGUGACGCCUGCCCGGUGCCGGAAGGUUAAUUGAUGGGGUUAGCGCAAGCGAAGCUCUUGAUCGAAGCCCCGGUAAACGGCGGCCGUAACUAUAACGGUCCUAAGGUAGCGAAAUUCCUUGUCGGGUAAGUUCCGACCUGCACGAAUGGCGUAAUGAUGGCCAGGCUGUCUCCACCCGAGACUCAGUGAAAUUGAACUCGCUGUGAAGAUGCAGUGUACCCGCGGCAAGACGGAAAGACCCCGUGAACCUUUACUAUAGCUUGACACUGAACAUUGAGCCUUGAUGUGUAGGAUAGGUGGGAGGCUUUGAAGUGUGGACGCCAGUCUGCAUGGAGCCGACCUUGAAAUACCACCCUUUAAUGUUUGAUGUUCUAACGUGGACCCGUAAUCCGGGUUGCGGACAGUGUCUGGUGGGUAGUUUGACUGGGGCGGUCUCCUCCUAAAGAGUAACGGAGGAGCACGAAGGUUGGCUAAUCCUGGUCGGACAUCAGGAGGUUAGUGCAAUGGCAUAAGCCAGCUUGACUGCGAGCGUGACGGCGCGAGCAGGUGCGAAAGCAGGUCAUAGUGAUCCGGUGGUUCUGAAUGGAAGGGCCAUCGCUCAACGGAUAAAAGGUACUCCGGGGAUAACAGGCUGAUACCGCCCAAGAGUUCAUAUCGACGGCGGUGUUUGGCACCUCGAUGUCGGCUCAUCACAUCCUGGGGCUGAAGUAGGUCCCAAGGGUAUGGCUGUUCGCCAUUUAAAGUGGUACGCGAGCUGGGUUUAGAACGUCGUGAGACAGUUCGGUCCCUAUCUGCCGUGGGCGCUGGAGAACUGAGGGGGGCUGCUCCUAGUACGAGAGGACCGGAGUGGACGCAUCACUGGUGUUCGGGUUGUCAUGCCAAUGGCACUGCCCGGUAGCUAAAUGCGGAAGAGAUAAGUGCUGAAAGCAUCUAAGCACGAAACUUGCCCCGAGAUGAGUUCUCCCUGACCCUUUAAGGGUCCUGAAGGAACGUUGAAGACGACGACGUUGAUAGGCCGGGUGUGUAAGCGCAGCGAUGCGUUGAGCUAACCGGUACUAAUGAACCGUGAGGCUUAACCUU